rnacentral:rRNA from 1 species
AACGAACGCUGGCGGCAUGCCUAACACAUGCAAGUCGAGCGAGACCUUCGGGUCUAGUGGCGCACGGGUGCGUAACGCGUGGGUACCUGCCCUUAGGUUCGGAAUAACUCCCCGAAAGGGGUGCUAAUACCGGAUAAUGUCUUCGGACCAAAGAUUUAUCGCCUUUGGAUGGGCCCGCGUUGGAUUAGCUAGUUGGUAGGGUAAAAGCCUACCAAGGCGACGAUCCAUAGCUGGUCUGAGAGGAUGGGCAGCCACACUGGGACUGAGACACGGCCCAGACUCCUACGGGAGGCAGCAGUGGGGAAUAUUGGACAAUGGGCGGAAGCCUGAUCCAGCAAUGCCGCGUGAGUGAUGAAGGCCUUAGGGUUGUAAAGCUCUUUUACCCGGGAUGAUAAUGACAGUACCGGGAGAAUAAGCUCCGGCUAACUCCGUG